GUGAAGAUUCAUGGCUUUCAAGCCAAAUGAUCAAUCUUAUGGCCACAUUCAUGACAUAGUUUGUUCAAAUGAUCUCAUAUUGUGCGCAAGGGUGCAUCUUGGAAUGGCAGAUAAUGUUUCCUAAGGAAGUUUUCAUUUUCUUUGGAAGAAAAAUUCAUUUUCCAUUUUUUGAGUGCCCGAAAUGUUUUUUUUUGUGAAGGACCUAUAUUAUAUUUGUUGCAAAAUUGUACCAAAUCAAAUUUCUAAAAUACUAGGACAUAUUUAAUGCACAAUUGACCAAAUGGUUGGGUGUAAAAAGUUUUGAUCCACCUCUCGUGAAAAAGACAAAUUCAUGCCGAUUCAAUUGGAAGCGGGUCAAAUUUGAACCGUAGCUACCUCGUAAUUUGCUCUUUAUUUUUUCCAAAAAUCAUUUCUAGGUACAUAAGUAUCUAUUUAAUCAGAUAAAUAUCACAAGGUCUCCAGGAUUCAACAACUAGCUAGGAACGGUCAAGCCCGCCGUUUUGACUGCAUUUUGAAACGGGCAUAAAAAAUUCAAAAAAAUCAAAAAAUUGGAAAACCUUCGCAUUGUGUCAUCAUAUAUGACCAAGUUUCUAGCAAAAAUAAUAAACAUGUAAUUCGGCAAUUAUUUUAAAAAAAGUGUUCUCAGAAACGAGCUAUCAAGUGUGAAGAUUCAUGGCUUUCAAGCCAAAUGAUCAAUCUUAUGGCCACAUUCAUGACAUAGUUUGUUCAAAUGAUCUCAUAUUGUGCACAACGGUGCAACUUGGAAUGGCAGACAAUGUUGCCUAAGGAAGUUUUCAUUUUCUUUGGAAGAAAAAUUCAUUUUCCAUUUUUCGAGUGCCCGAAAUGAGUUUUUUUGUGAAGGACCUAUAAUAUAUUUGUUGCAAAAUUGUACCAAAUCAAUUUUCUAAAAUACUAGGACAUAUUUAAUGCAUAAUUGACCAAAUGGUUGGGUGUAAAAAGUUUUGAUCCAUCUCUCGUGAAAAAGACAAAUUCCUGCCGAUUCAGUUGGAAGCGGGUCAAAUUUGAACCGUAGCUACCUCAUAGUUUGCUCUUUAUUUUUUCCAAAAAUCAUUUCUAGGUACAUAAGUAUCUAUUUAAUCAGAGAAACAUCAAAAGGUCUCCAAGAUUCAACAACUAGCUAGGAACGGUCAAGCCCGCCAUUUUGACCGCAUUUUGAAACGAGCAUAAAAAAUUCAAAAAAAUCAAAAAAUUGGAAAACCUUCGCAUUGUGUCAUCAUAUGUCACCAAGUUUCCAACCAAUAUAAUAAACUUGUAAUACGGCAAUUAUUUUAAAAAAGUGUUCUCAGAAACGAGCUAUCAAGUGUGAAGAUUCAUGGCUUUCAAGCCAAAUGAUCAAUCUUAUGCCCACAUUCAUGACAUAGUUUGUUCAAAUGAUCUCAUAUUGUGCGCAAGGGUGCAGCUUGGAAUGGCAGACAAUGUUUCCUAAGGAAGUUUUCAUUUUCUUUGGAAGAAAAAUUCAUUUUCCAUUUUUCGAGUGCCCGAAAUGAGUUUUUUUGUGAAGGACCUAUAAUAUAUUUGUUGCAAAAUUGUACCAAAUCAAUUUCCUAAAAUACUAGGACAUAUUCAAUGCACAAUUUACCAAAUGGUUGGUUGUAAAAAGUUUUGAUCCACCUCUCGUGAAAAGGACAAAUUCCCGCCGAUUCAGUCGGAAGCGGGUCAAAUUUGAACCGUAGCUACCUCGUAGUUUGCUCUUUAUUUUUUCAAAAAAUCAUUUCUAGGUACAAAAGUAUCUAUUUAAUCAGAGAAACAUCAAAAGGUCUCCAAGAUUCAACAACUAGCUUGGAAUGGUCAAGCCCGCCGUUUUGACCGCAUUUUGAAACGGGCAUAAAAAAUCAAAAAAACAAAAAAUUGGAAAACCUUCGCAUUGUGUCAUCAUAUAUGACCAAGUUUCCACCAAAUAUAAUAAACUUAUAAUACGGCAAUUAUUUUAAAAAAGUGUUCUCAGAAACAAGCUAUCAAGUGUGAAGAUUCAUGGCUUUCAAGCCAAAUGAUCAAUCUUAUGGUCACAUUAAUGACCUAGUUUGUUCAAAUGAUCUCAUAUUGUGCACAAGGGUGCAACUUGGAAUGGCAGACAAUGUUGCCUAAGGAAGUUUUCAUUUUCUUUGGAAGAAAAAUUCAUUUUCCAUUUUUCGAGUGCCCGAAAUGAGUUUUUUUGUGAAGGACCUAUAAUAUAUUUGUUGCAAAAUUGUACCAAAUCAAUUUUCUAAAAUACUAGGACAUAUUUAAUGCAUAAUUGACCAAAUGGUUGGGUGUAAAAAGUUUUGAACCACCUCUCGUGAAAAAGACAAAUUCCCGCCGAUUUAGUUGGAAGCGGGUCAAAUUCGAACCGUAGCUACCUCAUAGUUUGCUCUUUAUUUUUUCCAAAAAUCAUUUCUAGGUACAUAAGUAUCUAUUUAAUCAGAGAAAUAUCAAAAGGUCUCCAAGAUUCAACAACUAGCUAGGAACGGUCAAGCCCGGCGUUUGACCGCAUUUUGUAACGGGCAUAAAAAAUUCAAAAAAAUCAAAAAAUUGGAAAACCUUCGCAUUGUGUCAUCAUAUAUGCCCAAGUUUCUAGCAAAAAUAAUAAACUUGUAAUCCGGCAAUUAUUUUAAAAAAGUGUUCUCAGAAACGAGCUAUCAAGUGUGAAGAUUCAUGGCUUUCAAGCCAAAUGAUCAAUCUUAUGGCCACAUUCCUGACAUAGUUUGUUCAAAUGAUCUCAUAUUGUGCGCAAGGGUGCAUCUUGGAAUGGCAGAUAAUGUUUCCUAAGGAAGUUUUCAUUUUCUUUGGAAGAAAAAUUCAUUUUCCAUUUUUCGAGUGCCCGAAAUGUUUUUUUUGUGAAGGACCUAUAAUAUAUUUGUUGCAAAAUUGUACCAAAUCAAAUUUCUAAAAUACUAGGACAUAUUUAAUGCACAAUUGACCAUGGUUGGGUGUAAAAAGUUUUGAUCCACCUCUCGUGAAAAAGACAAAUUCAUGCCGAUUCAAUUGGAAGCGGGUCAAAUUUGAACCGUAGUUACCUCGUAGUUUGCUCUUUAUUUUUUUCCAAAAAUCAUUUCUAGGUACAUAAAUAUCUAUUUAAUCAGAUAAAUAUCACAAGGUCUCCAAGAUUCAACAACUAGCUAGGAACGGUCAAGCUCGCCGUUUUGACCGCAUUUUGGAACGGGCAUAAAAAAUUCAAAAAAAUCAAAAAAUUGGAAAACCUUCGCAUUGUGUCAUCAUAUAUGCCCAUGUUUCUAGCAAAAAUAAUAAACUUCUAAUCCGGCAAUUAUUUUAAAAAAGUGUUCUCAGAAACGAGCUAUCAAGUGUGAAGAUUCAUGGCUUUCAAGCCAAAUGAUCAAUCUUAUGGCCGCAUUCAUGACAUAGUUUGUUCAAAUAAUCUCAUAUUGUGCAAGAUGGUGCAUCUUGGAAUGGCAGACAAUGUUUCCUAAGGAAGUUUUCAUUUUCCUUGGAAGAAAAAUUCAUUUUCCAUAUUUCGAGUGCCCGAAAUGAGUUUUUUUGUGAAGGACCUAUAAUAUAUUUGUAGCAAAAUUGUACCAAAUCAAUUUUCUAAAAUACUAGAACAUAUUUAAUGCAUAAUUGACCAAAUGGUUGGGUGUAAAAAGUUAUGAUCCACCUCUCGUGAAAAAGACAAAUUCCUGCCGAUUUAGUUGGAAGCAGGUCAAAUUUGAACCGUAGCUACCUCAUUGUUUGCUCUUUAUUUUUUCCAAAAAUCAUUUCUAGGUACAUAAGUAUCUAUUUAAUCAAAGAAACAGCAAAAGGUCUCCAAGAUUCAACAACUAGCUAGGAACGGUCAAGCCCGCCGUUUUGAUCGCAUUUUGAAACGGGCAUAAAAAAUUCAAAAGAAUCAAAAAAGUGGAAAACCUUUGGAUUGUGUCAUCAUAUGUGACCAAGUUUCCAGAAAAAUAAUAAACUUGUAAUACGGCAAUUAUUUUGAAAAAGUGUUCUCAGAACCGAGCUAUCAAGUGUGAAGAUUCAUGGCUUUCAAGCCAAAUGAUCAAUCUUAUGGCCACAUUCAUGACAUAGUUUGUUCAAAUAAUCUCAUAUUGUGUGCAAGGGUGCAUCUUGGAAUGGCAGAUAAUGUUUCCUAAGGAAGUUUUCAUUUUCUUUGGAAGAAAAAUUCAUUUUCCAUUUUUCGAGUGCCAAAAAUGAGUUUUUUUGUGAAGGACCUAUAAUAUAUUUGUUGCAAAAUUGUACCAAAUAAAUUUUAUAAAAUACUAGGACAUAUUUAAUGCAAAAUUGACCAAAUGGUUGGGUGUAAAAAGUUUUGAUCCACCUCUCUUGGAAAGUACAAAUUCUCGCCGAUUCAGCCGGAAGCGGGUCAAAUUUGAACUGUAGCUACCUCGUAGUUUGCUCUUUAUUUUUUCCAAAAACCAUUUCUAUGUACAUAAGUAUCUAAUUAAUCAGAGAAACAUCAAAAGGUCUCCAAGAUUCAACAACUAGCUAGGAACGGUAAAGCCCGCCGUUUUGACCGCAUUUUGAAACGGACAUAAAAAAUUCAAAAAAAUCAAAAAAUUGGAAAACCUUCGCAUUGUGUCAUCAUAUGUGACCAAGUUUCCAGCAAAAAUAAUAAACUUGUAAUACGACAAUUAUUUUAAAAAAGUGUUCUCAGAAACGAGCUAUCAAGUGUGAAGAUUCAUGGCUUUCAAGCCAAAUGAUCAAUCUUAUGGCCACAUUCAUGACAUAGUUUGUUCAAAUGAUCUCAUAUUGUGCGCAAGGGUGCAUCUUGGAGUGGCAGACAAUGUUUCCUAAGGAAGUUUUCAUUUUCUUUGGAAGAAAAUUCAUUUUCCAUAUUUCGAGUGCCCGAAAUGAGUUUUUUUGUGAAGGACCUAUAAUAUAUUUGUUGCAAAAUUGUACCAAACCAAUUUCCGAAAAUACUAGGACAUAUUUAAUGCACAAUUGACCAAAUGGUUGGGUGUAAAAAGUUUUGAUCCACCUCUCGUGAAAAGGACAAAUUCUCGCCGAUUAAGCCGGAAGCGCGUGAAAUUUGAACUGUAGCUACCUCGUAGUUUGCUCUUUAUUUUUUCCAAAAAUCAUUUCUAUGUACAUAAGUAUCUAUUUAAUCAGAGAAACAUCAAAAGGUCUCCAAGAUUCAACAACUAGCUAGGAACGGUCAAGCCCGUCGUUUUGACCGCAUUUUGAAACGUGCAUAAAAAAUUCAAAAAAAACAAAAAAUUGGAAACCCUUCGCAUUGUGUCAUCAUAUGUGACCAAGUUUCCAGAAAAAAUAAUAAACUUGUAAUACGGCAAUUAUUUUAAAAAAGUGUUCUCAGAAACGAGCUAUCAAGUGUGAAGAUUCAUGGCUUUCAAGCCAAAUGAUCAGUCUUAUGGCCACAUUCAUGACAUAGUUCGUUCAAAUGAUCUCAUAUUGUCCGCAAGGGUGCAUCUUGGAAUGGCAGACAAUGUUUCCUAAGGAAGUUUUCAUUUUCUUUGGAAGAAAAAUUAAUUUUCUAUUUUCGAGUGCCUGAAAUGAGAUUUUUUGUGAAGGACCUAUAAUAUAUUUGUUGCAAAAUUGUACCAAAUCAAUUUAUAAAAUAAUAGGACAUAUUUAAUGCAUAAUUGACCAAAUGGUUGGGUGUAAAAAGUUUUCAUCCACCUCUCGUGAAAAUGACAAAUUCCUGCCGAUUCACUUGGAAGCGAGUCAAAUUUGAACUGUAGCUACCUCGUAGUUUGCUCUUUAUUUUUUUCCAAAAAUCAUAUCUAGGUACAUAAGUAUGUAAUUAAUCAGAGAAACAUCAAAAGGUCUCCAAGAUUCAAGAACUAGCUAGGAUCGGUCAAGCCCGCCGUUUUGACCGCAUUUUGAAACGAGCAUAAAAAAUUCAAAAAAAAUCAGAAAAUUGGAAAACCUUCGCAUUGUGUCAUCAUAUGUGACCAAGUUUCCAGAAAAAAUGAUAAAAUUGUAAUACGGCAAUUAUUUUAAAAAAGUGUUCUCAGAAACGAGCUAUCAAGUGUGAAGAUUCAUGGCUUUCAAGCCAAAUGAUCAAUCUUAUGGCCACAUUCAUCACAUAGUUUGUUCAAAUGAUCUCAUAUUGUGCACAAGGGUGCAUCUUGGAAUGGAAGACAAUGUUUCCUAAGGAAGUUUUCAUUUUCUUUGGAAGAACAAUUCAUUUUCCAUUUUUCGAGUGCCCGAAAUGAGUUUUUUUGUGAAGGACCUCUAAUAUAUUUGUUGCAAAAUUGUACCAAAUCAAUUUUCGAAAAUACUAGGACAUAUUUAGUGCACAAUUGACCAAAUGGUUGGGUGUAAAAAGUUUUGAUCCACCUCUCGUGGAAAGGACAAAUUCUCGCCGAUUCAGCCGGAAGCGGGUCAAAUUUGAGUUGUAGCUACCACAUAGUUUGCUCUUUAUUUUUUCCAAAAAUCAUUUCUAGGUACAUAAGUAUCUAUUUAAUCAGAGAUACAUCAAAAGGUCUCCAAGAUUCAACAACUAGCUAGGAACGGUCAAGCCCGUUGUCUUGACCGCAUUUUGAAACGGGCAUAAAACAUUCAAAAAAACAAAAAAUUGGAAACCCUUCGCAUUGUGUCAUCAUAUGUGACCAAGUUUCCAGCAAAAAUAAUAAACUUGUAAUACAGCAAUUAUUUUAAAAAAGUGUUCUCAGAAACGAGCUAUCAAGUGUCAAGAUUCAUGGCUUUCAAGCCAAAUGAUCUAUCUUAUGGCCACAUUCAUGACAUAGUUCGUUCAAAUGAUCUCAUAUUGUGUGCAAGGGUGCAUCUUGGAAUGGCAGACAAUCUUUCCUAAGGAAGUUUUCAUUUUCUUUGGAAGAAAAAUUCGUUUUCCAUUUUUCGAGUACCCGAAUUGAGUUUUUUUGUGAAGGAGCUAUAAUAUAUUUGUUGCAAAAUUGUACCAAAUCAAUUUCCAAAAAUACUAGGACAUAUUUAAUGCAUAAUUGACCAAAUGAUUGGGUGUAAAAAGUUUUGAUCCACCUCUCAUGAAAAGGAGCUCGCCGAUUCAGUCGGAAGCGCGUCAAAUUUGAACUGUAGCUACCUCGGAGUUUGCUCUUUAUUUUUUCCAAAAAUCAUUUCUAGGUACAUAAGUAUCUAUUUAAUUAGAGAAACAUCAAAAGGUCUCCAAGAUUCAACAACUAGCUAGGAACGGUCAAGCCCGUUGUUUUGACCGCAUUUUGAAACGUGCAUAAAAAAUUCAAAAAAAAACAAAAAAUUGGAAACCCUUCGCAUUGUGUCAUCAUAUGUGACCAAGUUUCCAGAAAAAAUAAUAAACUUGUAAUACGGCAAUUAUUUUAAAAAAGUGUUCUCAGAAACGAGCUAUCAAGUGUGAGGAUUCAUGGCUUUCAAGCCAAAUGAUCAAUCUUAUGGCCACAUUCAUGACAUAGUUCGUUCAAAUGAUCUCAUAUUGUCCGCAAGGGUGCAUCUCCGAAUGGCAGACAAUGUUUCCUAAGGAAGUUUUCAUUUUCUUUGGAAGAAAAAUUCAUUUUCCAUUUUUUGAGUGCCCGAAAUGAGUUUUUUUGUGCAGGACCUAUAAUAUAUUUGUUGCAAAAUUGUACCAAAUCAAUUUUCUAAAAUACUAGGACAUAUUUAAUGCGCAAUUGACCAAAUGGUUGGGUGUAAAAAGUUUGGAUCCACCUCUCGUGGAAAGUACAAAUUCUCACCGAUUCAGCCGGAAGCGGGUCAAAUUUAAACUGUAGCUACCUCGUAGUUUGCUCUUUAUUUUUUCCAAAAAUCAUUUCUAGGUACAUAAGUAUCUAAUUAAUCAGAGAAACAUCAAAAUGUCUCCAAGAUUCAACAACUAGCUAGGAACGGUCAAGCCCGCCGUUUUGACCGCAUUUUGAAACGGACAUAAAAAAUUCAAAAAAAAUCAAAAAAUUGGAAAACAUUCGCAUUGUGUCAUCAUAUGUGACCAAGUUUCCAGCAAAAAUAAUGAACUUGUAAUAUGGCAAUUAUUUAAAAAAAGUGUUCUCAGAAACAAGCUAUUAAGUGUGAAGAUUCAUGGCUUUCAAGCCAAAUGAUCAAUCUUAUGGCCACAUUCAUGACAUAGUUUGUUCAAAUGAUCUCAUAUUGUGCGCAAGGGUGCAUCUUGGAAUGGCAGACAAUGUUUUCUAAGGAAGUUUCAUUUUCUUUGGAAGAAAAAUUCAUUUUCCAAUUUUCGAGUGCCCGAAAUGAGUUUUUUAUGAAGGAGCUAUAAUAUAUUUGUUCUAAAAUUGUACCAAAUAAAUUUCCGAAAAUACUAGGACAUAUUUCGUGCAUAAUUGACCAAAUGGUUGGGUGUAAAAAGUUUUGAUCCACCUCUCGUGAAAAGGACAAAUUCUCGCCGAUUCAGCCGGAAGCUGGUCAAAUUUGAGUUUUGCUACCACAUAGUUUGCUGUUUAUUUUUUCAAAAAAUCAUUUCUAGGUACAUAAGUAUCUAUUUAAUCAGAGAAACAUCAAAAGGUCUCCAAGAUUCAACAACUAGCUAGGAACGGUCAAGCCCGUCGUUUUGACCGCAUUUUGAAACGGGCAUAAAAGUUCAAAAAAAAAACAAAAAAUUGGAAACCCUUCGCAUUGUGUCAUCAUAUGUGACCAAGUUUCCAGCAAAAAUAAUAAACUUCUAAUACAGCAAUUAUUUUAAAAAAGUGUUAUCAGAAACGAGCUAUCAAGUGUGAAGAUUCAUGGCUUUCAAGCCAAAUGAUCAAUCUUAUGGCCACAUUCAUGACAUAGUUCGUUCAAAUGAUCUCAUAUUGUGCGCAAGGGUCCAUCUUGGAAUGGCAGACAAUGUUUCCUAAGGAAGUUUUCAUUUUCUUUGGAAGAAAAAUUAAUUUUCCAUUUUUCGAGUGGCCGAAAUGAGUUUUUUUGUGAAGGAGCUAUAAUAUAUUUGUUGCAAAAUUGUACCAAAUUAAUUUCCGAAAAUACUAGGACAUAUUUAAUGCAUAAUUGACCAAAUGGUUGGGUGUAGAAAGUUUUGAUCCACCUCUCGUGAGAAGGACAAAUUCUCGCCGAUUCAGCCGGAAGCGCGUCAAAUUUGAACUAUAGCUACCUCGUAGUUUGCUCUUUAUUUUUUUUCUGAAAAUCAUUUCUAGGUACAUAAGUAUCUAUUUAAUCAGAGAAACAUCAAAAGGUCUCCAAGAUUCAAUAACUAGCUAGGAACGGUCAAGCCCGUCGUUUUGACCGCAUUUUGAAACGGGCAUAAAAAAUUCAAAAAAACAAAAAAUUGGAAACCCUUCGCAUUGUGUCAUCAUAUGUGACCAAGUUUCCGGCAAAAAUAAUAAACUUGUAAUACGGCAAUUAUUUUAAAAAAGUGUUCUCAGAAACGAGCUAUCAAGUGUGAAGAUUCAUGCCUUUCAAGACAAAUGAUCAAUCUUAUGGCCACAUUCAUGACAUAGUUCGUUCAAAUGAUCUCAUAUUGUCCGCAAGGGUGCAUCUUGGAAUGGCUGACAAUUUUUCCUAAGGAAGGUUUCAUUUUCUUUGGAAGAAAAAUUCAUUUUCCAUUUUUCGAGUGCCCGAAAUGAGUUUUUUUGUGAAGGACCUAUAAUAUAUUUGUUGCAAAAUUGUACCAAAUCAAUUUUCUAAAAUACUAGGACAUAUUUAAUGCACAAUUGACCAAAUGGUUGGGUGUAAAAAGUUUGGAUCCACCUCUCGUGGAAAGUACAAAUUCUCACCUAUUCAGCCGGAAGCGGGUCAAAUUUAAACUGUAGCUACCUCGUAGUUUGCUCUUUAUUUUUUCCAAAAAUCAUUUCUAGGUACAUAAGUAUCUAAUUAAUCAGAGAAACAUCAAAAGGUCUCCAAGAUUCAACAACUAGCUAGGAACGGUCAAGCCCGCCGUUUUGACCGCAUUUUGAAACGGACAUACAAAAUUCAAAAAAAAAUCAAAAAAUUGGAAAACAUUCGCAUUGUGUCAUCAUAUGUGACCAAGUUUCCAGCAAAAAUAGUAAACUUGUAAUACGGCAAUUAUUUUAAAAAAAGUGUUCUCAGAAACGAGCUAUCAACUGUGAAGAUUCAUGGCUUUCAAGCCAAAUGAUCAAUCUUAUGGCCACAUUCAUGACAUAGUUUGUUCCUCAUAUUGUGCACAAGGGUGCAUCUUGGAAUGGCAGACAAUGUUUCCUAAUGAAGGUUUCAUUAUCUUUGGAAGAAAAAUUCAUUUUCCAUUUUUUGAGUGCCUGAAAUGAGUAUUUUUGUGAAGCACCUAUAAUAUAUUUGUUGCAAAAUUGUACCAAAUCAAUUUCUAAAAUACUAGGACAUAUUUAAUGCAUAAUUGACCAAAUGGUUGGGUGUAAAAAGUGUUGAUCCACCUCUCGAGAAAAAGACAAAUUCCUGCCGAUUCACUUGGAAGCGGGUCAAAUUUGAACUGUAGCUACCUCGUAGUUUGCUCUUUAUUUUUUUUUCCAAAAAUCAUUUAUAGGUACAUAAGUAUCUAUUUAAUCAGAGAAACAUCCAAAGGUCUCCAAGAUUCAACAACUAGGUAGGAACGGUCAAGCCCGUCGUUUUGACCGCAUUUUGAAACGGGCAUAAAAAAUUCAAAAAAACAAAAAAUUGGAAACCCUUCGCAUUGUGUCAUCAUAUGUGACCAAGUUUCCAGCAAAAAUAAUAAACUUGUAAUACAGCAAUUAUUUUAAAAAAGUGUUCUCAGAAACGAGCUAUCAAGUGUGAAGAUUCAUGGCUUUCAAGCCAAAUGAUCAAUCUUAUGGCCACAUUCAUGACAUAGUUCGUUCAAAUGAUCUCAUAUUGUGCGCAAGUGUGCAUCUUGGAAUGGCUGACAAUGUUUCCUAAGGAAGUUUUCAUUUUCUUUGGAAGAACAAUUCAUUUUCCAAUUUUCGAGUGCCCGAAAUGAGUUUUUUUGUGAAGGAGCUAUAAUAUAUUUGUUGCAAAAUUGUACCAAAUCAAUUUCUGAAAAUACUAGGACAUAUUUAAUGCAUAAUUGACCAAAUGGUUGGGUGUAAAAAGUUUUGAUCCACCUCUCGUGAGAAGGACAAAUUCUCGCCGAUUCAGCCGGAAGCGCGUCAAAUUUGAACUGUAGCUACCUCGUAGUUUGCUCUUUAUUUCUAUCCAAAAAUCAUUUAUAGGUACAUAAGUAUCUAUUUAAUCAGAGAAACAUCAAAAGCUCUCCAAGAUUCAAGAACUAGCUAGGAUCGGUCAAGCCCGCCGUUUUGACCACAUUUUGAAACGGGCAUAAAAAAUUCAAAAAAUUCAAAAAAAAUCAGAAAAUUGGAAAACCUUCGCAUUGUGUCAUCAUAUUUGACCAAGUUUCCAGCAAAAAUAAUAAACUUGUAAUACGGCAAUUAUUUUAAAAAAGUGUUCUCAGAAACGAGCUAUCAAGUGUGAAGAUUCAUGGCUUUCAAGCCAAAUGAUCAAUCUUAUGGCCACAUUCAUCACAUAGUUUGUUCAAAUGAUCUCAUAUUGUGCACAAGGGUGCAUCUUGGAAUGGCAGACAAUGUUUCCUAAGGAAGUUUUCAUUUUGUUUGGAAGAACAAUUCAUUUUCCAUUUUUCGAGUGCCUGAAAUGAGUUUUUUUGUGAAGGACCUAUAAUAUAUUUGUUGCAAAAUUGUACCAAAUCAAUUUCCGAAAAUACAUAGACAUAUUUAGUGCACAAUUGACCAAAUGGUUGGGUGUAAAAAGUUUUGAUCCACCUCUCGUGAAAAAGACAAAUUCUUGCCGAUUCACUUGGAAGCGGAUCAAAUUUGAACUGUAGCUACCUCGUAGUUUGCUCUUUAUUUUUUUCCAAAAAUCAUUUCUAGGUACAUAAGUAUCUAAUUAAUCAGAGAAACAUCAAAAGGUCUCCAAGAUUCAAGAACUAGCCAGGAUCGGUCAAGCCCGCCGUUUUGACCGCAUUUUGAAACGGGCAUAAAAAAUUCAAAAAAAAUCAGAAAAUUGGAAAACCUUCGCAUUGUGUCAUCAUAUGUGACCAAGUUUCCAGCAAAAAUAAUAAAUUUGUAAUACGGCAAUUAUUUUAAAAAAGUGUUCUCAGAAACGAGCUAUCAAGUGUGAAGAUUCAUGGCUUUCAAGCCAAAUGAUCAAUCUUAUGGCCACAUUCAUGACACAGUUCGUUCAAAUGAUCUCAUAUUGUGCGCAAGGGUGCAUCUUGGAAUGGCAGACAAUGUUUCCUAAGGAAGUUUUCAUUUUCUUUGGAGAAAAAUUCAUUUUCCAUUUUUCGAGUGCCCGAAAUGAGUUUUUUGAGAAGGACCUAUAAUAUAUUUGUUGCAAAAUUGUACCAAAUCAAUUUCCGAAAAUACUAGGGCAUAAUGCACAAUUGGCCAAAUAUUUGGGUGUAAAAACUUUUGAUCCACCUCUCGUGAAAAGGACAAAUUCUCGCCGAUUGAGCCGGAAGCGGGUCAAAUUUGAACUGUAGCUACCUCGUAGUUUGCUCUUUAUUUUUUCCAAAAAUCAUUUCUAGGUACAUAAGUAUCUAUUUAAUCAGAGAUACAUCAAAAGGUCUCCAAGAUUCAACAACUAGCUAGGAACGGUCAAGCCCGUUGUUUUGACCGCAUUUUGAAACGGGCAUAAAAAAUUCAAAAAAAACAAAAAAUUGGAAACCCUUCGUAUUGUGUCAUCAUAUGUGACCAAGUUUCCAGCAAAAAUAAUAAACUUGUAAUACGGCAAUUAUUUUAAAGAAGUGUUCUCAGAAAUGAGCUAUCAAGUGUGAAGAUUCAUGGCUUUCAAGCCAAAUGAUCAAUCUUAUGGCCACAUUCACGACAUAGUUUGUUCAAAUGAUCUCAUAUUGUGCGCAAGGGUGCAUCUUGGAAUGGCAGACAAUGUUUCCUAAGGAAGUUUUCAUAUUCUUUGGAAGAAAAAUUCAUUUUCCAUUUUUUGAAUGCCCGAAAUGAGUUUUUUGUGAAGGACCUAUAAUAUAUUUGUUGCAAAAUUGUACCAAAUAAAUUUUCUAAAAUACUAGGACAUAUUUAAUGCACAAUUGACCAAAUGGUUGGGUGUAAAAAGUUUUGAUCCACCUCUCGUGGAAAGUACAAAUUCUCGCCGAUUCAGCCGGAAGCGGGUCAAAUUUAAACUGUAGCUAGCUCGUAGUUUGCUCUUUAUUUUUUCCAAAAAUCAUUUCUAGGUACAUAAGUAUCUAAUUAAUCAGAGAAACAUCAAAAGGUCUCCAAGAUUAAACAACUAGCUAGGAAUGGUCAAGCCCGCCGUUUUGACCGCAUUUUUAAACGGACAUAAAAAAUUCAAAAAAAAUUAAAAAAUUGGAAAACCUUCGCAUUGUGUCAUCAUAUGUGACCAAGUUUCUAGCCAAAAUUAUAAACUUGUAAUACGGCAAUUAUUUUUAAAAAGUGUUCUCAGAAACGAGCUAUCAAGUGUGAAGAUUCAUGGCUUCAAAGCCAAAUGAUCAAUCUUAUGGCCACAUUCAUGAGAUAGUUUGUUCAAAUGAUCUCAUAUUGUGCACAAGGGUGCAUCUUGGAAUGGCAGACAAUGUUUCCUAAGGAAGUUUUCAUUUUCUUUGGAAGAACAAUUCAUUUUCCAUUUUUCGAGUGCCCGAAAUGAGUUUUUUUCUGAAGGACCUAUAAUAUAUUUGUUGCAAAAUUGUACCAAAUCAAUUUCCGAAAAUACUAGGACAUAUUUAGUGCACAAUUGACCAAAUGGUUGGGUGUAAAAAAUUUUGAUCCACCUCUCGUGAAAAGGACAAAUUCUCGCCGAUUCAGCCGGAAGCGGGUCAAAUUUGAGUUGUAGCUACCACAUAGUUUGCUGUUUAUUUUUUCCAAAAAUCAUUUCUAGGUACAUAAGUAUCUAUUUAAUCAGAGAAACAUCAAAAGGUCUCCAAGAUUCAACAACUAGCUAGGAACGGUCAAGCCCGUCGUUUUCACCGCAUUUUGAAACGGGCAUAAAACAUUCAAAAAAACCAAAAAAUUGGAAACCCUUCGCAUUGUGUCAUCAUAUGUGACCAAGUUUCCAGCAAAAAUAAUAAACUUGUAAUACAGCAAUUAUUUUAAAAAAGUGUUCUCAGAAAGGAGCUAUCAAGUGUGAAGAUUGAUGGCUUUCAAGCCAAAUGAUCAAUCUUAUGGCCACAUUCAUGACAUAGUUCGUUCAAAUGAUCUCAUAUUGUGCGCAAGGGUGCAUCUCGGAAUGGCAGACAAUGUUUCCUAAGGAAGUUUUCUUUUUCUUUGGAAGAAAAUUCAUUUUCCAUUUUUCGAGUGCCCGAAAUGAGUUUUUUUGUGAAGGAGCUAUAAUAUAUUUGUUGCACAAUUGUACCAAAUCAAUUUCCGAAAAUACUAGGACAUAUUUAAUGCAUAAUUAACCAAAUGGUUGGGUGUAAAAAGUUUUGAUCCACCUCUCGUGAAAAGGACAAAUUCUCGCCGAUUCAGCCGGAAGCGCGUCAAAUUUGAACUGUAGCUACCUCGUAGUUUGCUCUUUAUUUUUUCCAAAAAUCAUUUCUAGGUACAUAAGUAUCUAUUUAAUCAGAGAAACAUCAAAAGGUCUCCAUGAUUCCACAACUAGCUAGGAACGGUCAAGCCCGUCCUUUUGAUCGCAUUUUGAAACGUGCAUAAAAAAUUCAAAAAAAAACAAAAAAUUGGAAACCCUUCGCAUUGUGUCAUCAUAUGUGACCCAGUUUCCAGAAAAAAAUAAUAAAGUUGUAAUACGACAAUUAUUUUUAAAAAGUGUUCUCAGAAACGAGCUAUCAAGUGUGAAGAUUCAUGGCUUUCAAGCCAAAUGAUCAAUCUUAUGGCCACAUUCAUCACAUAGUUCGUUCAAAUGAUCUCAUAUUGUCCGCAAGGGUGCAUCUUGGAAUGGCAGACAAUGUUGCCUAAGGAAGUUUUCAUUUUCUUUGGAAGAGAAAUUUAUUUUCCAUUUUUCGAGUGCCCGAAAUGAGUUUUUUUGUGAAGGACCUAUAAUAUAUUUGUUGCAAAAUUGUACCAAAUAAAUUUUCUAAAAUACUAGGACAUAUUUAAUGCACAAUUGACCAAAUGGUUGGGUGUAAAAAGUUUUAAUCCACCUCUCGUGAGAAGGACAAAUUCUCGCCGAUUCAGCCGGAAGCGCGUCAAAUUUAAACUGUAGCUACCUCAUAGUUUGCUCUUUAUUUUUUUUCCAAAAAUCAUUUAUAGGUACGUAAGUAUCUAUUUAAUCAGAGAAACAUCAAAAGGUCUCCAAGAUUCAAGAACUAGCUAGGAUCGGUCAAGCCCGCCGUUUUGACCGCAUUUUGAAACGGGCAUAAAAAAUUCAAAAAAAUUCAGAAAAUUGGAAAACCUUCGCAUUGUGUCAUCAUAUGUGACCAAGUUUCCAGCAAAAAUAAUAAACUUGUAAUACGACAAUUAUUUUAAAAAAGUGUUCUCAGAAACGAGCUAUCAAUUGUGAAGAUUCAUGUGUUUCAAGCCAAAUGAUCAAUCUUAUGGCCACAUUCAUGACAUAGUUUGUUCAAAUGAUCUCAUAUUGUGCACAAGGGUGCAUCUUGGAAUAGCAGACAAUGUUUCCUAAGGAAGUUUUCAUUUUCUUUGGAAGAAAAAUUCAUUUUCCAUUUUUUGAGUGCCUGAAAUGAGAUUUUUUGUGAAGCACCUAUUAUAUAUUUGUUGCAAAAUUGUACCAAAUCAAUUUCUAAAAUACUAGGACAUAUUUAAUGCAUAAUUGACCAUAUGGUUGGGUGUAAAAAGGUUUGAUCCACCUCUCGUGAAAAAGACAAAUUCCUGCCGAUUCACUUGGAAGCGGAUCAAAUUUGAACUGUAGCUACCUCGUAGUUUGCUCUUUAUUUUUUUUCCAAAAAUCACUUCUAGGUACAUAAGUAUCUAAUUAAUCAGAGAAACAUCAAAAGGUCUCCAAGAUUCAAGAACUAGCUAGGAUCGGUCAAGCCCGUCGUUUUGACCGCAUUUUAAAACGGGCUUAAAAAAUUCAAAAAAAUCAGGAAAUUGGAAAACCUUCGCAUUGUGUCAUCAUAUGUGACCAAGUUUCCAGAAAAAAUAAUAAAAUUGUAAUACGGCAAUUAUUUUAAAAAAGUGUUCUAUGAAACGAGCUAUCAAGUGUGAAGAUUCAUGGCUUUCAAGCCAAAUGAUCAAUCUUAUGGCCACAUUCAUCACAUAGUUUGUGCAAAUGAUCUCAUAUUGUGCACAAGGGUGCAUCUUGGAAUGGCAGACAAUGUUUCCUAAGGAAGUUUUCAUUUUCUUCGGAAGAAAAAUUCAUUUUCCAUUUUUCGAGUGCCCGAAAUGAGUUUUUUUGUGAAGCACCUAUAAUAUAUUUGUUGCAAAAUUGUACCAAAUCAAUUUCUAAAAUACUAGGACAUAUUUACUGCACAAUUGACCAAAUGGUCGGGUGUAAAAAGUUUUGAUCCACCUCUCGUGAAAAAGACAAAUUCCUGCCGAUUCACUUGGAAGCGGGUCAAAUUUGAACUGUAGCUAGCUCGUAGUUUGCUCUUUAUUUUUUUCCAAAAAUCAUUUAUAGGUACAUAAGUAUCUAUUUAAUCAGAGAAACAUCCAAAGGUCUCCAAGAUUCAAGAACUAGCUAGGAUCGGUCAAGCCCGCCGUUUUGACCGCAUUUUGAAACGGGUAUAAAAAAUUGAAAAAAUAUCAGAAAAUUGGAAAACCCUUCGCAUAGUGUCAUCAUAUGUGACCAAGUUUCCAGCAAAAAUAAUAAACUUGUAAUACAACAAUUAUUUUAAAAAAGUGUUCUCAGAAACGAGCUAUCAAGUGCGAAGAUUCAUGGCUUUCAAGCCAAAUGAUCAAUCUUAUGGCCACAUUCAUGACAUAGUUUGUUCAAAUGAUCUCAUAUUGUGCGCAAGGGUGCAUCUUGGAAUGGCAGACAAUGUUUCCUAAGGAAGUUUUCAUUUUCUUUCGAAGAAAAAUUCAUUUUCCAAUUUUCGAGUGCCCGAAAUGAGUUUUUUUUUAAGGAGCUAUAAUAUAUUUGUUGCAAAAUUUUACCAAAUAAAUUUCCGAAAAUACUAGGACAUAUUUAAUGCAUAAUUGACCAAAUGGUUGGGUGUAAAAAGUUUUGAUCCACCUCUCAUGAGAAGGACAAAUUCUCGGCGAUUCAGCCGGAAGCGCGUCAAAUUUGAACUGUAGCUACCACAUAGUUUGCUCUUUAUUUUUUCCAAAAAUCAUUUCUAGGUACAUAAGUAUCUAUUUAAUCAGAGAAACAUCAAAAGGUCUCCAAGCUUCCACAACUAUCUAGGAAUGGUCAAGCCCGUCGUUUUGACCGCAUUUUGAAACGGGCAUAAAAAAUUAAAAAAAACAAAAAAUUGGAAACCCUUCGCAUUGUGUCAUCAUAUGUGACCAUGUUUCCAGCAAAAAUAAUAAACUUGUAAUACAACAAUUAUUUUAAAAAAGUGUUCUCAGAAACGAGCUAUCAAGUGUGAAGAUUAAUGCCUUUCAAGCCAAAUGAUCAAACUUAUGGCCACAUUCAUGACAUAGUUCGUUCAAAUGAUCUCAUAUUGUGCGCAAGGGUGCAUCUCGGAAUGGCAGGCAAUGUUUCCUAAGGAAGUUUUCAUUUUCUUUGGAAGAAAAAUUCAUUUUCCAUUUUUCGAGUGCCCGAAAUUAGUUUUUUUGUGAAGGAGCUAUAAUGUAUUUGUUGCAAAAUUGUACCAAAUCAAUUUCCGAAAAUACUAGGACAUAUUUAAUGCAUAAUUGACCAAAUGGUUGGGUGUAAAAAGUUUUGAUCCACCUCUCGUGAGAAGGACAAAUUCUCGCCGAUUCAGCCGGAAGCGCGUCAAAUUUAAACUGUAGCUACCUCAUAGUUUGCUCUUUAUUUUUUUUCCAAAAAUCAUUUAUAGGUACGUAAGUAUCUAUUUAAUCAGAGAAACAUCAAAAGGUCUCCAAGAUUCAAGAACUAGCUAGGAUCGGUCAAGCCCGCCGUUUUGACCGCAUUUUGAAACGGGCAUAAAAAAUUCAAAAAAAUUCAGAAAAUUGGAAAACCUUCGCAUUGUGUCAUCAUAUGUGACCCAGUUUCCAGCAAAAAUAAUAAACUUGUAAUACGGCAAUUAUUUUAAAAAAGUGUUCUCAGAAACGAGCUAUCAAGUGUGAAGAUUCAUGGCUUUCAAGCCAAAUGAUCAAUCUUAUGGCCACAUUCAUCACAUAGUUUGUUCAAAUGAUCUCAUAUUGUGCACAAGGGUGCAUCUUGGAUUGGCAGACAAUGUUUCCUAAGGAAGUUUUCAUUUUCUUUGGAAGAACAAUUCAUUUUCCAUUUUUCGAGUGCCCGAAAUGAGUUUUUUUGUGAAGGACCUAUAAUAUAUUUGUUGCAAAAUUGUACCAAAUCAAUUUCCGAAAAUACUAGGACAUAUUUAGUGCACAAUUGACCAAAUGGUUGGGUGUAAAAAGUUUUGAUCCACCUCACGUGAACAGGACAAAUUCUCACCGAUUCAGCCGGAAGCGGGUCAAAUUUGAGUUGUAGCUACCACAUAGUUUGCUCUUUAUUUUUUCCAAAAAUCAUUUCUAGGUACAUAAGUAUCUAUUUAAUCAGAGAAACAUCAAAAGGUCUCCAGGAUUCAACAACUAGCUAGGAACGGUCAAGCCCGUCGUUUUGACCGCAUUUUGAAACGGGCAUAAAAAAUUCCAAAAAACAAAAAAUUGGAAACCCUUCGCAUUGUGUCAUCAUAUGUGACCAAGUUUCCAGCAAAAAUAGUAAACUUGUAAUACAGCAAUUAUUUCAAAAAAGUGUUCUCAGAAACGAGCUAUCAAGUGUGAGGAUUCAUGGUUUUCAAGCCAAAUGAUCAAUCUUAUGGCCACAUUCAUGACAUAGUUUGUUCAAAUGAUCUCAUAUUGUGCACAAGGGUGCGUCUUGGAAUGGCAGACAAUGUUUCCUAAGGAAGUUUUCAUUUUCUUUGCAAGAAAAAUUCAUUUUCCAUUUUUUGAGUGCCUGAAAUGAGUUUUUUUGUGAAGCACCUAUAAUAUAUUUGUUGCAAAAUUGUACCAAAUAAAUUUCUAAAAUACUAGGACAUAUUUAAUGCAUAAUUGACCAUAUGGUUGGGUGUAAAAAGGUUUGAUCCACCUCUCGUGAAAAAGACAAAUUCUUGCCGAUUCACUUGGAAGCGGAUCAAAUUUGAACUGUAGCUACCUCGUAGUUUGCUCUUUAUUUUUUUUCCAAAAAUCAUUUCUAGGUACUUAAGUAUCUAAUUAAUCAGAGAAACAUCAAAAGGUCUCCAAGAUUCAAGAACUAGCUAGAUCGGUCAAGCCCGCCGUUUUGACCGCAUUUUGAAACGGGCAUAAAAAAUUCAAAAAAAAUCAGAAAAUUGGAAAACCUUCGCAUUGUGUCAUCAUAUGUGACCAAGUUUCCAGCAAAAAUAAUAAACUUGUAAUACGACAAUUAUUUUAAAAAAGUGUUCUCAGAAACGAGCUAUCAAGUGUGAAGAUUCAUGGCUUUCAAGCCAAAUGAUCAAUCUUAUGGCCACAUUCAUGACACAGUUCGUUCAAAUGAUCUCAUAUUGUGCGCAAGGGUGCAUCUUGGAAUGGCAGACAAUGUUUCCUAAGGAAGUUUCAUUUUCUUUGGAGGAAAAAUUCAUUUUCCAUUUUUCGAGUGCCCGAAAUGAGUAUUUUUGUGAAGGAGCUAUAAUAUAUUUGUUGCAAAAUUGUACCAAAUCAAUUUCCGAAAAUACUAGGACAUAUUUAAUGCAUAAUUGACCAAAUGGUUGGGUGUAAAAAGUUUUGAUCCACCUCCCGUGAGAAGGACAAAUUCUCGCCGAUUCAGCCGGAAGCGCGUCAAAUUUGAACUGUAGCUACCUCGUAGAUUGCUCUUUAUUUUUUUCCAAAAAUCAUUUCUAGGUACCUAAGUAUCUAUUUAAUCAGAGAAACAUCAAAAGGUCUCCAAAAUUCAACAACUAGCUAGGAACGGUCAAGCCCGUCGUUUUGACCGCAUUUUGAAACGGGCAUAAAAAAUUCAAAAAAACAAAAAAUUGGAAACCCUUCGCAUUGUGUCAUCAUAUGUGACCAAGUUUCCGGCAAAAAUAAUAAACUUGUAAUACGGCAAUUAUUUUUAAAAAGUGUUCUCAGAAACGAGCUAUCAAGUGUGAAGCUCCAUGGCUUUCAAGCCAAAUGAUCAAUCUUAUGGCCACAUUCAUGACAUAGUUCGUUCAAAUGAUCUCAUAUUGUCCGCGAGGGUGCAUCUUGGAAUGGCAGACAAUGUUUCAUAAGGAAGUUUUCAUUUUCUUUGGAAGAAAAUUCAUUUUCCAUUUGUCGAGUGCCCGAAAUGAGUUUUUUUGUGAAGGAGCUGUAAUAUAUUUGUUGCAAAAUUGUACCAAAUCAAUUUCCGAAAAUACUAGGACAUAUUUAAUGCAUAAUUGACCAAAUGGUUUGGUGUAAAAAGUUUUGAUCCACCUCUCGUGAGAAGGACAAAUUCUCGCCGAUUCAGCCGGAAGCGCGUCAAAUUUGAACUGUAGCUACCUCGUAGUUUGCUCUUUAUUUUUUUUCCAAAAAUCAUUUCUAGUUACAUCAGUGUCUAUUUAAUAGGAGAAACAUCAAAAGGUCUCCAAGAUUCAACAACUAGCUAGGAACGGUCAAGCCCGUCGUUUUGACCGCAUUUUGAAACGGGCAUAGAAAAUUCAAAAAAAAACAAAGAAUUGGAAACCCUUCGCAUUGUGUCAUCAUAUGUGACCAAGUUUCCGGCAAAAAUAAAAAACUUGUAAUACGGCAAUUAUUUUUAAAAAGUGUUCUCAGAAACGAGCUAUCAAGUGUGAAGCUCCAUGGCUUUCAAGCCAAAUGAUCAAUCUUAUGGCCACAUUCAUGACAUAGUUCGUUCAAAUGAUCUCAUAUUGUCCGCGAGGGUGCAUCUUGGAAUGGCAGACAAUGUUUCAUAAGGAAGUUUUCAUUUUCUUUGGAAGAAAAUUCAUUUUCCAUUUGUCGAGUGCCCGAAAUGAGUUUUUUUGUGAAGGAGCUGUAAUAUAUUUGUUGCAAAAUUGUACCAAAUCAAUUUCCGAAAUACUAGGACAUAUUUAAUGCAUAAUUGACCAAAUGGUUUGGUGUAAAAAGUUUUGAUACACCUCUCGUGAGAAGGACAAAUUCUCGCCGAUUCAGCCGGAAGCGCGUCAAAUUUGAACUGUAGCUACCUCGUAGUUUGCUCUUUAUUUUUUUUCCAAAAAUCAUUUCUAGUUACAUCAGUGUCUAUUUAAUAGGAGAAACAUCAAAAGGUCUCCAAGAUUCAACAACUAGCUAGGAACGGUCAAGCCCGUCGUUUUGACCGCAUUUUGAAACGGGCAUAGAAAAUUCAAAAAAAAACAAAGAAUUGGAAACCCUUCGCAUUGUGUCAUCAUAUGUGACCAAGUUUCCGGCAAAAAUAAAAAACUUGUAAUACGGCAAUUAUUUUAAAAAAGUGUUCUCAGAAACGAGCUAUCAAGUGUGAAGAUUCAUGGCUUUCAAGCCAAAUGAUCAUUCUUAUGGCCACAUUCAUGACAUAGUUCGUUCAAAUGAUCUCAUAUUGUCCGCAAGGGUGCAUCUUGGAAUGGCAGACAAUGUUUCCCAAGGAAGUUUUCAUUUUCUUUGGAAGAAAAAUUCAUUUUCCAUUUUUCGAGUGCCCGAAAUUUGUUUUUUUGUGAAGGACCUAUAAUAUAUUUGUUGCAAAAUUGUACCAAAUCAAUUUCCGAAAAUACUAGGACAUAUUUAAUGCAUAAUUGACUAAAUGGUUGGGUGUAAAAAGUUUUGAUCCACCUCUCGUGAGAAGGACAAAUUCUCGCCGAUUCAGCCGGAAGCGCGUCAAAUUUAAACUGUAGCUACCUCAUAGUUUGCUCUUUAUUUUUUUCCAAAAAUCAUUUAUAGGUACGUAAGUAUCUAUUUAAUCAGAGAAACAUCAAAAGGUCUCCAAGAUUCAAGAACUAGCUAGGAUCGGUCAAGCCCGCCGUUUUGACCGCAUUUUGAAACGGGCAUAAAAAAUUCAAAAAAAAUCAGAAAAUUGGAAAACCUUCGCAUUGUGUCAUCAUAUGUGACCAAGUUUCCAGCAAAAAUAAUAAACUUGUAAUACGGCAAUUAUUUUAAAAAAGUGUUCUCAGAAACGAGCUAUCAAGUGUGAAGAUUCAUGGCUUUCAAGCCAAAUGAUCAAUCUUAUGGCCACAUUCAUCACAUAGUUUGUUCAAAUGAUCUCAUAUUGUGCACAGGGGUGCAUCUUGGAAUGGCAGACAAUGUUUCCUAAGGAAGUUUUCAUUUUCUUUGGAAGAACAAUUCAUUUUCCAUUUUUUGAGUGCCCGAAAUGAGUUUUUUUGUGAAGGACCUAUAAUAUAUUUGUUGCAAAAUUGUACCAAAUCAAUUUCCGAAAAUACUAGGACAUAUUUAGUGCACAAUUGACCAAAUGGUUGGGUGUAAAAAGUUUUGAUCCACCUCUCAUGAAAAGGACAAAUUCUCGCCGAUUCAGCCGGAAGCGUGGCAAAUUUGAACCGUAGCUACCUCGUAGUUUGCUCUUUAUUUUUUCCAAAAAUCAUUUCUAGGUACAUAAGUAUCUAUUUAAUUAGAGAAACAUCAAAAGGUCUGCAAGAUUCAACAACUAGCUAGGAACGGUCAAGCCCGUCGUUUUGACCGCAUUUUGAAACGGGCAUAAAAAAUUCAAAAAAAAUAAAAAUUUGGAAAUCCUUCGCAUUGUGUCAUCAUAUGUGACCAAGUUUCCGGCAAAAAUAAGAAACUCGUAAUACAGCAAUUAUUUUAAAAAAGUGUUCUCAGAAACGAGCUAUCAAGUGUGAAGAUUCAUGGCUUUCAAGCCAAAUGAUCAAUCUUAUGGCCACAUUCAUGACAUAGUUUGUUCAAAUGAUCUCAUAUUGUGCACAAGGGUGCGUCUUGGAAUGGCAGACGAUGUUUCCUAAGGAAGUUUUCCUUUUCUUUGGAAGAAAAAUUCAUUUUCCAUUUUUUGAGUGCCUGAAAUGAGUUUUUUUGUGAAGCACCUAUAAUAUAUUUGUUGCAAAAUUGUACCACAUCAAUUUCCUAAAAUACUAUGACAUAUUUAAUGCACAAUUGACCAAAUGGUUGGGUGUUAAAAGUUUUGAUCCACUUCUCGUGAAAAGGACAAAUUCCCGCCGAUUCAGCCGGAAGCGGGUCAAAUUUGAACCGUAGCUACCUCGUAGUUUGCUCUUUAUUUUUUCCAAAAAUCAUUUCUAGGUACAUAAGUAUCUAUUUAAUCAGAGAAACAUCAAAAGGUCUCCAAG
rnacentral:lncRNA from 1 species